rnacentral:misc_RNA from 1 species
GUCAAGACAAAUUCUUCCGAAUCAGUGUGUUUUUACGAAUGCGCCGGUGCUGUCGUCUCUGUUGGCGGUCCAUUACAUAUAUUCAUAUCUAAUAUAAAACAAGAUUUUUGACAAAAUAAUAUUAAAAGCGGCGUAAAUUGUGAGAUGAUGAAAGUGUCUUUUAUUAUAUUUUUCAUAUAAAUGAGAAUAUGGAGUGAAAUUAGCUCUAAAAAGAGCGAAAAAAAAUGUGAAAGACGUUAUAAAAUUAAUACUAAGAGCAGUUAAAACACCUUCUCAUCUUUAUAUAUAUUAAAAAAUAAUUCGUCAACUCAUAAGUCUUAAUUCAAAAAAGCAUGAUGAUGCCAUUUGGAAAGUUGCCGUUAGUUGUUAUCGUAUGUUUUAUAGGAUACAUAUCAUGGGUCAGAGGAGAAUGUCAAAUUGAAUCCCAGCCGUGUGACUUCCCUUUCACAUAUGAAGGCAAAAAAUUCAGCUACUGUACAGAGCACAACGCCACAGAAGGGAAAUUUGUUUGCGUGUCUAGUCAUGGUGAAGAUCGAUGGAGUUGGGGUAUCUGUAAUGAGGGUUGUUUGGAUGAGGAGGAUGGAUCUCCCUUAGAUUUUGGAGGGGAAACAAUGGGCCAGGCCGUAGAUUGUAAAAAUGAACCUUUAUCAUGUGUCUUUCCUUUUAUUUAUAAUGGAGUUGAACAUAACGAGUGUACUGAGGAAGAUGCGGACUUUUUUUGGUGUGCCACUCAUGUGGAUGAACAUGGUAUCCUCAUUGAUAAUAUGUGGGGAAAAUGUGAUGUUGCAUCCUGUACUGAGGAUCCCAGUACGGAAUCACCAGAGGGCGUUGAUCCAGAAACAGAGGAGGAAGGCCCUAAAAACGCUAAGGUCUUGAUCGAUGUGAAUGAAAUUAUAGUGGAUUUAACAUUUCAUCAAGAUGAUUCCGAAUCCCAAUUAAAUAUCUAUGGUACUAUAAGUGGAUUAGAGCCAGGACUGCAUGGACUUGCUAUCCAUGCUGAAAACAGUGAUAAUUGUAGCAAUGUUGGACCGCAUUUCAAUCCAUUGGAAACUACCCAUGGAAGUCACUCCUCAGAGGAUCGGCAUGCUGGAGAUUUGGGGAACGUUGAAGUAGAUGAAAAUGGAUUGGGAGAGAUAAAUAUUACAUUGCCCAUAGAGACGACACUUUUUGGGCCGGAUAGUGUUUUGGGUAAAGCGUUAGUUAUCUAUUCAGAAGAAGAUACUUUUGAAACUGAGGAGUUACUACUUACCCCUUUGGCGUGUGGGGUUAUUUACGAAGAAGACGAAUGGCCCUUAAUACUCAUACUUAUUAUCGCAUUAUCCGUAGCCAUUGUUUUAUUACUCAUUCUUAUCACAAUUCUCAUUUGUUGUUGUAUGCGGAGGAAAAAGCCCAAGAAGAAGAAGGCACUCGAUAAAAUCCCUGAAGACGAAAUAUUACCCCUUCACAACGGAAACGGAUCGUAUAAUAAGAAAACGCCAUUGUACGAUGAACUCUCCAUACCUUUUAUCGACGCAACUCCUGCUCCAACUCCAAAACUUGGAAGGAGUAUCGAUCGUCUAUCCUCCUUUUUUACUCGCAAUCCCAGUGUUGGAAGAUCGCGUGGAUCUUUAGCUAGCAACGAUGAGUUCGAUAGUUCAGUUGUUUAUUAAAUGUGUUCAUUAUUUUCAUUAUAAUGUGGAUGUACAUUUUGUCUAUUUAAAAACAAACAAAUAUCCCGUCCAUCACUCUUUAGUUUUUUUUUUCUCUCUCUCACUCUUGCUGUUAAAACCAUUGUUUUAGAAAUAUGAAUAUAUAGAUCUAUUUAAUAUAUAUAUAAUCAUUAUUUAUAAAAUUACCCUAUCUAUGAAUAAAAAGAAUCAAAUGUGAUUUAGGCACCUUUCAUCUUCCAAAAUCCAUACUACCAGCUCCAACGUAUCCUCCACCUGAAGUACCAGCUAAUGACACACCAUGGAAGGGAAGUCGAAGACUCCGCCGGAAAUAAAGGAAUUAUAUGAAAUAUACCUUAACAAAUAAAUAUUUAGAUGUAUUGGACAUAGAUAAUUAUGGAACAGAGAUUACUUAUAAUUAACGCGUAUAUAAAAUAAAAGUUGUAGUUGUGACAGCCUCUCGGUUCCCGUAUCCGAACAAUUAAUACAUGAACCCUACUACUACUAUUACGUGCAAGGAAAAAGGAUUUGAAUCAAAAGAAGACGCAGAGGGAUAAUCCGUACAGACAUUCAAUUAGUUAGAUUGUGCCAUAAUAACUCUUCUAUUAUUUUCCAAAGAAAAUGUCUCGUCUUAAUUUUGAUUGUAUUAUUCUACUUACAUAGUAGUUUACCACCUCCUUUGUUCUUGGGUUAUAAUAUUAUUUAUCAGUUCUCAUAAUUAUUUUUUAAGAUGUUCUAAGCUGAUACUGCUGCUGAUUCCCUCACCCUCAAAAAUAUUGUGUAGAUGUAGCUUUUCUAUUAUUAUUAUUAUUUUUUUUUUUUUUUUUAGCAAAUCCCAUAAUGUGUAUUUUCCUUGUGUCCUAACAAAGAAACAAGCGUUUUAUGUUAUUAAUUCAUUGAGAUAUGUCCAGUAUUCUCUUAAAGGGCGGUUAUGAGAAACUUUGCAUAUGCUAAUGACACUUAUUGAUUUUGUAAAGCAGAUUAAAUACACAAAAUCUAGCCCCCUCCUCCCCAUUCUCCUCUGCUUAAAUGUACACACUUUAGAAAUGAAGAAUAGUUUUUCUCAUAUGGUUUUAUUCGUUAUGAUUACCUCUUUAAGUAUCCUAGGAGAGAGAGGUUUAAACCUGUGAAUACGAUGAGGCCUUAACCACUCUGUAAGCAAAAAACAAAAAAGUUAUCCUAAUCAUUAUUUUUGUAAAUGUUUUUAUGCUAAGCUUGGAUUAUCAUGAGGUGGGUAGUUGGUUAAGUGUCUUUGUAUGGUCAUAGCUUUAAUUUGUUGGUGUUUUUUUUUUUUUUUUUUUGAGGGAGUUGUAAUAGACAUAUUAAUUGAGCUUGUUUUACUUUAAAAAAAAAAAAAAAAAAAAAAGAGCUAGGGAUUCUUUUGCAAAGGAAAUACGUAUUUUUGUAAAUUUCUUACUUGUAAUUGGGAAAGGGAUGAUUUUUGGUGCUCCUUUGCUCUAUUUUAUUUUUUGCAGGAGACCAUCAUCACCUCAUGUGUGUCCUUGCUUAUCCAAAAUAAUACUGCUACUUGUAACCAUCUCUUCUAGUCAAAGAGAUUUAUGUGUAUAUUUAAAUAAAACAAAAUAUCUAUAUCUAAUGUAAUGAUAAACCCUCAAUUAGAUAUGUUAAUCUAAUUUAGAUGAUAAUAUGUCAAAAAUAUUUUUGGAUUAUAUUGUGUUAUUUCUUUUAUUUUUCACGUCGUUAUUGUAUUACAUUCAACAUCACAGUUCUUAAUUCUUAUUUUUUCCUCAUCUCGUAUACAUUUUAUUUAAAAAAAAAAGUAUAUUUAUUUAAAAUGUUCAAAUAUAAGACGUUGUAAAAUAAAAUAAUAAGAGACAGUA